rnacentral:rRNA from 1 species
CAAGGGUGCAAACCACAAAAGUUUAGGGUUUCUUCCAGAGGCAUCCACGCUGCGGACUCUCCCCCCCCAACCUUCAUCCACACCCACCACCACCCCGUGAAGAAUCCGGCGGCGGGCGGCGGACGGCGAGCGGCGGCGGAGCAGAGUCAGUCAGAGCAGGGCAGUGGAUUCUAGGUUUUCGAGGAGGGAGAUGGCGGGCAUGGGCGAGAUGUCGAUGAGGCCGCGGCCGGGCCCGCCGAUGCACCGCGGCCCGCCUCCCAUGGCGCGCCCCCGCCCCGAACCCAUCGACCGCGAGAAGACCUGCCCUCUCCUGCUGCGGGUUUUCACCAAGGUUGGUGGCCAUCACCUGAAUGAAGAAUUUUCCGAGAGAGGGAAGGAGCCAAAAGAUGAAGUUCAGAUUUACACGUGGAAGGAUGCCACACUCCGGGAGCUCACUGAUCUUGUCAAAGAGGUUGCUCUUCCAGCAAGGAAAAGAAACGCUAGGUUAUCUUUUGCUUUUGUAUACCCGGAUAAGAAUGGUCGUUUUGUUGUCAAACAGGUGGGUUCGACCUUUUCUUAUGGUCAUGGAAGAGGGGAUGAUGCCAAAUCUCUUGGGGACCUUGGCUUCCAGAUAGGUGAUUACUUGAGCGUUUCGAUCAUGUGAGCCGUGCCAUAUUGCAAAAUAGUGUGCCUGCUGCACACCAAGCAGAAUAGUUUUCCUGCUGUGCUAUUAUCUUGUGCUGUGCGUGCGAGGGAUGAAGCUCUCCUUAGU